rnacentral:rRNA from 1 species
AUUGAACGCUGGCGGCAUGCCUUACACAUGCAAGUCGAACGGUAACGCGGGGCAACCUGGCGACGAGUGGCGAACGGGUGAGUAAUGCAUCGGAACGUGCCCAGUAGUGGGGGAUAGCCCGGCGAAAGCCGGAUUAAUACCGCAUACGACCUAAGGGUGAAAGCGGGGGAUCGCAAGGCCUCGCGCUGUUGGAGCGGCCGAUGUCAGAUUAGGUAGUUGGUGGGGUAAAGGCCUACCAAGCCUACGAUCUGUAGCUGGUCUGAAAGGACGACCAGCCACACUGGGACUGAGACACGGCCCAGACUCCUACGGGAGGCAGCAGUGGGGAAUUUUGGACAAUGGGCGCAAGCCUGAUCCAGCCAUGCCGCGUGCGGGAAGAAGGCCUUCGGGUUGUAAACCGCUUUUGUCAGGGAAGAAAUCUUCUGGGCUAAUACCUCGGGAGGAUGACGGUACCUGAAGAAUAAGCACCGGCUAACUACGUGCCAGCCGCCGCGGUAAGAC